rnacentral:rRNA from 1 species
CAGGCCUCACACAUGCAAGUCGAACGCCCGAGCAAUCGGGAGUGGCAGACGGGUGAGUAACGCGUGGGAAUCUCCCCAGUUCUUCGGAAUAACUGAGGGAAACUUCAGCUAAUACCGGAUACGCCCCAAGGGGGAAAGAUUUAUCGGAAUUGGAUGAGCCCGCGUUGGAUUAGCUAGUUGGUGGGGUAAUGGCCUACCAAGGCUACGAUCCAUAGCUGGUCUGAGAGGAUGAUCAGCCACACUGGGACUGAGACACGGCCCAGACUCCUACGGGAGGCAGCAGUGGGGAAUAUUGGACAAUGGGCGCAAGCCUGAUCCAGCCAUGCCGCGUGAGUGAUGAAGGCCUUAGGGUUGUAAAGCUCUUUCAGUGGGGAAGAUAAUGACGGUACCCACAGAAGAAGCCCCGGCUAACUUCGUGCCAGCAGCCGCGGUAAU